rnacentral:rRNA from 1 species
AGAAUCAACGCUGGCGGCGUGCCUAACACAUGCAAGUCGAACGCGAAAGGGGCUUCGGCCCUGAGUAGAGUGGCGAACGGGUGAGUAACGCGUGGGUGAUCUACCUUCGAGUGGGGGAUAACGUUCCGAAAGGGACGCUAAUACCGCAUGACGUUCUGGGUUUGAAGACCUGGAAACCAAAGCCGGGGACCGCAAGGCCUGGCGCUUGAAGAGGAGCCCGCGUCCGAUUAGCUAGUUGGCGGGGUAAUGGCCCACCAAGGCGACGAUCGGUA